UCAUGGAUAGACCUAAAGAUCCUUACCCUGUGGCUGGAGCUCCUGGGAAUUGUCACUACAACAGUGCCCACCACCACCUGCCUCAAAACUCACUGCAGUCUUCACUUGCAGCUUGUUCACACGUGACUCAAGAUACCAGAAAAACAUCCUCGAGGCAGCCCGAAGCUGGCUGCACGAAUCCCCCUGCGCUUAACUUUCCUUUCGAGAUGGAAAGCAAAGAUUGGAGCAGUAGAAGCGGAGCUAUUUUGGUGACAUAGUGCCACCCACUGUCGGAGGGACAGACAGCACCCUGGUCCUGCUCGGCCAUGGGCUGCGUUUGCUGUUUGGAGAGCUGUGUCUGCAACAUAUAAUUCAGCAGGCAGACUGCAGCUCUCCAUCCCGCUGUGUCGAUGCACACACACACAGAGAAAGGAUGACGUGGGUCAGAGCCAUCACGCUGAGGACCCACGGCCCAAAGUUUUGUCCCCUUUGCAAGCACGGUCUGCUCGAGAGAAAACCCUCACCAGCUGCAGCUCAACAUCACGAAAUAUCCUGGAAAGAAAGCUGCCAACCAUGGGGUCAUCUCCUCAGCCCUUAACACAUCGACCAGCCCUGUACGUGGCAGCAGAUUUUUAUUUUUAUUUUUUUGCCGUUUCUGGAUGGUGGA